ACUCCACCGAGGUCGUCGCCUAAGCCGGAGGAGCCGCCAGUUUGGGCUCGGGGAGGGAGGCGGAGAGGGAGUGGCGGCCGCGGUGGAGCGGCGUGGGCUCCGCACCAGCAGCUCGGUGCCAGGCUCGGUACCUGGCAGGCCGGGCGCGCCUCGCAGGCCGCCCGGGGCGCGGAGGGUGUGAGCGCGCGCGCCCCCUCCGUGCCCGCUCAGCCUCGCGCGCGUCUCGGGGGAGGCUCCGCCGAGAGGCGCCCGGGGAGCCCGCAGCCUCAGUCCUGCCGCCGGCGGAGCUUUGUGCGGCGGCGGCUCCGAGUCCCACCUGCUGGCGGCGGAGAGACAAGGAAGAGGAAGAAGGAGGAGGAGGAGGGGAAAGAGGCGGCGGCGCCAGCCCACUCCUCUCGCCGGCGCCCACUCCCGGGGGCUCCGCAGCCCCCCGCUCUCGGCCUGCACCAGCUCCCCGCCCCCGGCCCGGCCCGGCCUCCCGGCCACACCGCGGCAGCCGCCGCUGCAGCCCCCAGCCUUGCCCGGCGGGGCCCGGCCCGGCCCGGCCCGGCCGCCGCCGCCGCCGCCGCCGCCCGGAGCCGCCGGCGAGUUUGAGGGGAGCGCGGGGCGCGCGGCGCCGCUUCAAUGUGCCCGGGAGCCGCCUCGGCGCCCCAGCCCCGCUGAACAGCCCCGGCGCGGCUGCCCUAGAGGACGAGCGAGGAGGCGCGGAGAGCCCCGGAGAAAGAGAGCCAGCGAGAAAGAGCGAGCCCGACAGCGAGCGCAGGGAGCGACACCAUGCCCGGCUGGAAGAAGAAUAUCCCUAUCUGCUUGCAGGCAGAGGAGCAGGAGAGAGAUAAGAAAAUGGAAUCACAGCAAAUAUAAGCAACAUACCCAGGAGCACGCAGCUGGCAAACAGCUGAGCUAGCACUUGGACUCAGGCAAACUGGCUCCCGAGCCUGCACGUGUAACCACUGUGUGACACUGCCUCUCAGAGCAGCUUCGUGUUGCCUUCGGAACAGGUCUUCGGAAGAGUGUCUGGAAAAUGCCUUGACACAUUCUAAUUAUUUGUUCCUUUAUCAUGGGAAUGUUUUUGAAAUCUUGGAACCAGAAAACUGCCAAGCUAUCUUCUUAAUUCUUGUUUCGUGACACUUAACUUCGAAUACAGAAUUUAUUAUGGCUGGUUAACUUAGAACUCUCUUGAUUCUAAAAACAGCUUCCUGACUUAUUCUUCAGUCUGCCAGAGCUGUUCUUUGCAGCAGUAUUUUAACCCCUUCACAUCUUUCUUUAUGUCACCAUGACAUUAACUUAUACCACAACCACAUCUCUGGAAGGGGUAGCCAUUCAUAUGCAAAAGCAUAUCACAGAUGACACCUUAGAAGCCCUUCUUGACUGGAUUCACAAAACACUGACAAAAACCCUCUUUUCUACAUCCAAUGGGGCAUUCAGGCCCACCAAAGUUUUUUUUUUUUUUUUCAAAUUCCUCAGAGGUAAUAUUCUCACAGUCACUCUGACUUUGACUUUCAGUUCCCAUUGAAGUGUUGAUCUCCCUUGCCAUCUGCUUCCCUAUGCUCCAUAGUGACCCAUACCUGGCUUCCUUCUCCUCCUAGACUUCCCUGUGGAUUGCACACACACAAGGCAUUUUUAGGUAUAACAGACUUUAUUGAAUGUUUGGGGCAACAGGGAUCAGUUAGCAGUUCCAUCACCACAACACAACCUCAAACUGAAUUUAGAAUUUUCUGUUUCUAAAUGUCCUCCAGUCAUCCCAUCACAGAAUUCUCUUAGGUCACCCUUGUAGCAAGCUCCAGUCUCUUGCAGCUUCAUCCUGCUCCAGUUCUAGCUAUACUUUAAAUACAGUUUUUCUCGCAUUUUAUGCACAGUUGUCUAGCUGGCAACUCCUUAUUUGACUUCAUGCCUGCCUUUGUCUAAAAAUUUGUUAAUAUCUUGCUAAACAAAAUGACCAUUGAUUCUUUACCAGUAUAGCAGAACUGGCAGUGACUUUUUUCUCAAUGACAGGAAUUUUAACUUUCCCCUCUGAUAUAAGAAGUGGCCAUAGUCAUUUUGAGUUUUAAACACAUUUAUUAUUUAGGCUAAACUAGUAACAAAAAUGUAUUAGUGUUGCUUUUAAAAAUAUGAUAAGAAACACAGUGUACUAUGGAGUGUAUAUAACUUCCUCAUCUUCUGGUAAAUGAACAUUAAUAUGAAAGUAAACCAGUACCACUGGUUACAUUAACUGCAGGAGGUAGUGGUGGGUCUGCGGCCAGCUUUACCUUUGGGGAGAAAUUCUUGAAUAAGGCAGUGGUUGCUAAUCAAAUCUCAUUUCUGCUUGUUAAUGGUGCCCAGUAGAGAACAUUACCCAUACCUCAGUACAGGGCUCAGGUAGAAACAAGGGGAGAGAAUGGAUCCAGACCAAGUGAGGCUGUGACAGUUGACUACUAUAAGGGUGCAUUAGUCUGUUCUCACACUGCUACAAGAGAUACCUGAGGCUGGGUAAUUUAUAAAGAAAAAGAGAUUUAGUGGACUGACAGUUUCACGUGGCUGGGAGGCCUCACAAUCAUGGUGGAAGGCAAAGGAGGAGCAAAGGCAUAUCUUACAUGGCAGCAGGCAAGAGAACGUGUGUAGGGGAACUGCCCUUUAUGAAACCAUCAGAUAUUGUGAGACUUAUUCACUAUCAUGAGAACAGCAUGGGAAAAACCCACCCCCUUGAUUCAAUUACCUCCCACCAGGUCCUUCCCAUGACAUGUGGGGAUUAUAGGAGCUACAAUUCAAGAUGAGAUUUGGGUGGGGACACAGCCAAACCAUAUCAAAGGGCAUCUGAACAAUCCACAGACCUAUCCCAAGAAUGGGUGUGGUGAAGGCAGUUCAUGGUAACAGAGGCUGACAAUCUGGCACAUGGUACCAGAGGCUGACAAUCUGGCACAUUGGGGGUUCCAGGUGGAGCACAGAGUGCAAAGUCAGGCAUAGCUAAUCCACAGCAGAGGCACCUGCUUCUUCACAGCAGCAUGGCAACCACUGACCGGAGGAUGGCAGCAAGACCCUGAGAGAGGGGCUUAGAUGGGUCUUUGGCUAGGGUUCUAGUCCUACAAGGAGUCAAAGUUAUUGGUCAGCAUGUCCACAAAGAUUAUGGAAAAAAAUGUUUCAACACAGUAACUGGAAAAGUUGCCAUUGGAAGGCCUGAGGGACCUCUACUGCUUGUCCCUUGCAGGGUCUGAUUGACAGCACAAUUUAAUUCCUAAGUCUGUGUAUGGGAGGCAGUUUGUGUCUUCUGAUCUAAUUCUUGCCAUUUUCAUGAUUAGCUCAGGAGCCUUGGCAGUCCUGGGCAUAUGAGGACCUUGGAAGGCAAAGUCAGGGAAAUGUGUCAGGGCCAGUGAUCAUAGAACAUCAUUCAGCACACACUGGGAUACAGAAGACCCUGGCUUUCCUCCUGGGGCAUAGGCAGCUAGAAGGAGCAUUGUUUCUAUUCUUAUAAUGCAAAAAUUAAAAAGUGUAUCAAACUAUAAGUUAUGAAUUGUCUGGAACUCAUAGAGGACCUUGGUUGUAGGACAACCAACUGACUCAGAAUCUAAGAAGAGAAUGGGGCCUCCAGAAAGAGACAAGACACACAUGCUGGCUUGGUAGGGGGUAGACGCUGUUGGGUAAAUUGAUGGAGGCUGAGAGUGAACUGAUAGGAAACUGAAGAACCUGAGGAGAGACAGAAUUGUGGGAGUGCGUGUACUCUCUAGGGCUUUCCUCCAUGAACCCCAAUGGGUACUUACAGAAGAUAUUGGAGAAAGACUUUUAAAUGUGUCCUUUCUGGAUAAAAUAAAACAGGAAAGGGAGGUACUUUAGUUGAAAGGCUGGACCUUAUGGAUGAGGAAGCAAGGCAUGUGGACUUUUGAGGGAUGAGCAUUCCAGGCAGAAGGAGCAGCAAGUACACAGGCCCUGAGUUGGGAGUGGCCUGGCUGGUGAGAGGAGUAGAAAGGAGACCAGUGUGGCUGGAGCUGGAUGAUCAGGGAGAAGAGGAAUAGAGAUGAAGCUAGAGCGGGAUCAGGGGCUGGGUUGUAUAGGGUCUUUGGGAUGACUGAAUGACAGACUUUGGCUUUUGGUUUGAGUAAGAUGCUGAAACCAUUGGAGGGUUUUGAAUAAGAGGUGAUUUAACAUGACCUUUGAUUUAAAAUGAUCUUGAAAAUAUUUGGCAAUUUCCAAUGAGGUUUAACGUACAUUAACCCUUUGACUCUGCAAUCACAUUGCUGGGUAUUUAUCCUAGAGAAAUAAGAAUGUAUGUUUGCACAAAAUCUUAUGUAUUCAUGUUCAUAAAAGCUUUAUUUGUAAUAGUCCCAAAUCAGAAAUAACCCCAAAUGUCUUUCAGUGCUCAAUGGGUAAAUGGAAAAACAAACUUUGGUAUAUCAGUAUGAUGGAAAACUACUCAAGAAUAAAAACAGCCUUGUGCAGUGGCUCACACCUGUAUUCCCAGCACUUUGGGAGGCCAAGGCAGGAGGAUUGCUUGAGCAUAGGAGUUCUAGAUUAGCUUGGGCAACAUGGUGAGACCCCAUCUCUAGCAGGAAAAAAAAUUAGUCGGGUGUGGUGGUGUAUACCUGUAGUUCCAGCUACUUAGGAGGCUGAGGUGGGAGGAUCUCUUGAGCCUGGGAGGCUGUGUGAAACAUGAUCGCACCACUGUACUCAGCCUGGGCAACAGAGCAGACUCUUUCUCAAAAAAUAAUAAAAAUAAAGAGAUAUCAAAUACAUUUAACAGCUUGCAUGGAUCUCAAGGACAUUAUGCUAACUGAAAAAAAAAGCCAAUUCCAAAAGGUUUUAUACUGUAUGGUUCCACUUAUAUAACAUGUUCAAAAUGGAAAAAUCAUAGUGAUGGAGAACAGAUCAGUGGUUGUUGGGGUUUAGGGUUGGGGAAGGGUAUACCUGUAAAUGAGUGGCAUAGGAUGUUUCUUUGUGGUGAUGGAACAGUUCUGCAUCCAUUUUGUUUUUUGUUUUUGUCUUUGUUUUGUUUUGUUUAUGAGGCAGCGUCUUGCUCUAUCACCUAGGCUGGACUGCAUUGGUGCUAUUUGGCUCACUGUAGCCUUGACCUCCUAGGCUCCAGCAAUCCUCCCGACUCAGCCUCCCAAGUAGCUCAGACCACAGGUGUGCACCACCAUACCUGGCUUAUUUAAAAUAAAAUGAAAUUUUUGUAGAGAUGGGGUCUCAUGUUGCCUAGGCUUGCCUCAAAGUUGUAGGCUCAAGCAGUCCUCCUGCCUUGGCCUCCCAAAAUGCAGGGAUUGCACGUGUGAGCUACCACAUCCAUUCCAGUUUUGUAUCCUGAUUGUAAUAAUGAUUGCACAAAUCCAUAUGUGUGAUAACAUUUCAUAGCAAAAAUGUGUAUAUAUGUGUAUAUAUAUAUAUAAGUGAGUAAAUGAAAAGAGUGGUAGACUCCUGAAAAGGUCUCUCAUUUAGAUAAAGUAUUGUACCAAUGCCAGCUGUGUGAUGUACUAUGGUUAUGUAACUUGCUCUCAUUGGUGAGACCUGGGAGAAGGAUACACAGAAUUUCUCUGUAUUGUUUUUGCCAUUUCUUGUGAGUCUAAAAUUAUUUCUAAAUAAAACAUUUUUUAAAAAAGGUUCUCUCUGGAAGUUAUGUUGAAUCAACACUGAAGGGACAAAGGGGAAGCAGGGAGACCAAUUAGGAGGCUGCUGUAGUCAUCCAGGUAAGAGAUGAUGGUGGCUGGGACCAAGGUGGAAUUGGUGAUGGAAUUCCUACCUGUCCCUUCCAGGCUGUGCAAUGGGACAACUUUAAGAGCCAGAGUCUCCAGCUGUCACUACCCUGUCACCAUCCCUACUAUCAUCUCUGGACCCCAUAUUUCACCUGUGCUCACCCUGACACCACUUCUGCCCUUGUGUCUCCUCACAGCAAGUGUGGGUGCUACUUCCCCUGAGAUGCCAUGAGUUUCUUUUUCCUUAUUGCCAGGAUUGCCCUGAGCCAUCACAGGCCCUUGAUUUUUACUAUCUAAGCUGUAUUUCCUCUGCCCAUCCAUUAGGAAGAAGAUUGCUGUCUGGUUUGAACUGGAAUUUCUCGCUAUGUCCCACUGGAGCAAUUACUUGAUGAUGCACGUGUCAAGAGUCAUUCUACAUGCUGGAGAUACCGUGGUACAGAAGACAGAGGAGGUCCUUGCCCUAGUGGAGUCAGCAAGCUAAAAAGAAAACAGAAAAACUAGUGGCAAGUACAAUGAAGAAAACCAGAUCAAAGUUUUGGGAUGGAGUGGUGGAGGUGUUGAGAAGGGUGAGCGUUUGAGAUACAGUGUUCCUUCUUGGAGAACAGGAUGUUGGGAUGACCCUGAUUGAAGAGAUGGAGUCAUUGUAUAAUCUGGAUAGGAGGCUGGGGCAUAAAGCCUCCAGAGAUAAAAGUGUAUUCAUUCUAAUACAGUACUUCCCUUGCCAUCUUCUGGAUGGCUUGUUUCUUUGACAUUCAUUUGUUAAAUCAGUUUUUUUUUUUAAUUCCGAAUCCAUUUUUUCCUAGGAAUAAUGCACUCAGAAUAGGAAAAAUGUAGAUUUAAAACCAGGCCUAAUCAUAAAGUCUUUUUGCAAUAUGUCACUAACAGGUAAAAGACGACUGUGGCCAAAGGGGACAUAGUUACUGGAGAAAACCUUUAUUUUGCAGGACUGCUGUUGCUAUUCACAUAGAGGAGUCUUCUGUUAGUAUACUAUUGCAAAGUUAGGGAUUGUCUAAAGUGGGGGUGGUGAUUUGGGGGUAUGAAAAGAUGGUUUGCUCUGUCUGUAGAAUAGUGUUAGUAAGUGUGUCAUAAUCUUCUCUGUAUUUGGAUCCUAAACAUCCAUUGAGCAUGAUUCUUAAGCUAAAAGUACACUUACCAUGUCAUCAGAGGAUACUAAAAUGUAUGAUUGCUUUAUAGUCGUUGUUUGUUUUCUGUAGAACAAAAUUAUUUUAUGCUUCUCCCUAGUCUUUCAAGUGCACUCCAUUAUAAAGAUUCUUAAUGGCUUUUGUAUGUCCAAGGAAAGAUUAUAUGUCAAAGAAAUUAUUUCCAGAAAGUGCACAAAGUUGUACAGGGUCUUUCAGGUUACAGCCCACAGCAUCACCAUCUUCUGUGCUUUGUGGAGAAUUAGACCCUUUAUAUUGCUAUUGUAGAUUAUGUUACUAUCAAUAGAUAAACAGGGAAUUGUAUGUUGCUUGUUGGAAUAAGUUAUUUUCUACAUAACUUACUAUGUGUUAAAUAUGAUUCAGAGGAUUGGACUUUUAUGUUUAAAAAUAAAUUUAAUGUAAGAUGAAAUUCCUGUUUUCUGAUAAUUAUCUGAACUGCUUUUCACGAUUGAGUCUAGCCAACAAACUUAAAAUUUAUGUGUAGUUUCAGAACAGUGGCAAACAUUUUGUGAAAACAGGUGCUUUUGAUUACUGCUAAGCUGGUCUUAUGUUUUCACAUUGUGCUUCUGCUGGCAGUAGUAUGUGGUUCCUGAAUUUUCAGGUGCAGAAAAUAACAUUUGAUUUGUGAAGCCCCAUUUUUGAGAUAAAACUAGGCACAUGUCAAAUGUAAGCAAUAUGGAAUGUGACGCCAACAGUGGCAUCCUUGCUGAUUCUAAAAAUUGGAUAUAGGUUAACAAAUUGCUGUAGUGGAAAGUUUUACAAAUGAUUACAGCUCUGGUUAAUACUUGUUUUUGUAAACUGUAAUCUGCCUGCAAAAAAUUAACUUCUGCAAGUAUUUUGAAGACAUGAAUAUGAACUUAUACCUUUAAAAACUUUGCUCAGUACAUUUCACCCUGCUUAUAAUCGUGAUCACUUUUAGGGGAACAGCUGUUAAAAUUUAGGGUGAGAUGUACGGGUGCUCAGCAGUUGGUUGUAAAUUUCCACUUUAUGGAUUUACAGUGGUCUUUCAUUAUUGAAGUAGAAUUGGGGAAUCCCCAUCACCUUAAAACUGUUAUUUAUGGCUGGUUUUAUCUACCAAUGCCAAGUUUUCAUGAUUUAUAGGAACAAACACCUCUCUCUUUUAUUCUUAAAAAUUCCAAAUCUUCUGUGUAAUGGUGUUUUUAGCACUAUUUGGAAGAUGAUCAGGCAUAAAAGGAAUUUUAAACCUAAGAACUGUUGGGAUCUUCCAAUCCAGCCCUCUGAUUUUACAUAAAUUUAAUAUCUCUAACAACAGAGUAAUUUGCUCAGUAAUUGUUUAAGGCUUAAAGAGAGAAAAUGUCUAACUCAAGAUUACACAGCUCAGAAUAGAAGUAACGUAAGUAUUUAAGUCUGUGAACUUGGUGUAUUUUUAAUCGUAUCCUCCCCCAUACACUUCCCAUUGCUUCAAACACUGCCUUCAUGUGAAAUUUCCCACAACCCUGCUCACUCUCCCAAGGGUUAGCCCUGGAGCCCCUGUGUAUGUGAAUGGCACCCCCAAUUACUCCAUCGUUUUGUGAUUACUUACAUACAGUGUCCUUUUGUGAGUGCCAUAUCCUCAUCUUUGUAUUCCAGCAUCUAAGACAGUGCCUGGACCAUCUAUAGAUGUUUCUGUCUUAAAAAGCUGUGAAGAAGACUGAUUCCCAUAAGCCACCCACAGAAACCUAUCUCAUUACUUUGUAGUCACUAUUCGUGUAUUUGAAAUGAUUAGGAAGUUUAGAAAACCAUACUCUGGCUGUAAGAAUCUUAGUUUGCCAUAUCAAUGAUUCCGAUGCUAUUCCUCUCCAUCUACUACUCUGUGUAGCACAGGAAAACACAGCUCCUGCAACAGAUGUUUUGAGAAUCCAAAUGCAAGGAAAAUAGAAGGGGAAAGCAGUGUUUAUACUUUAUAAGAUUCUUAUAGACCUACCUUUUUCUUUUCAACACAUGCUACGAAGUUUAUUAUGCUUGAUCUCCUGAGAUCAGUGCAUGCUAGGCCCUAUGCUUCGUAAUUUAUGUGCAUUAGCUCAUUUAAUCCACACAACUCCAUGAGACUAAUACUAUUAUCUUUAUUUUCCAGAUAAAACUUGAGCCAAAUGAGCUUAAUUUUCUCAAUGUUACACAAUUGUCGGUAUGUUAGCUAUUAUCAGCCAAUAUGCAUUAAGCACUACUAUGUGCUGAGAGCCAUGGCAGGAAUAUCCCAGCUCCCAACUGCAGUGCUGUGUGCCAUCCUUCCCCAUGCUGCCAGUCAACUGUGCCUUCAUGAUGGCAGCCUCCAUCCUCGUGAUGGGUUGAUAAACUCCUGAGUCAGCUUGGAUAUAAUUCCACGGCUCCAAAAGGAGAAAAAGCAGCAAACGCAACAUGCUGUUAUGACUAACCAUUUUUGUAAUGAGGUGAAUGUUCUUCUCAGUACGUUCAUUCAAUUAUUUUGUAUUCAAUUAUACUUUGAAUAGGAGAAUUUACCUUACACUCUAGUGUGACUUUGUUGUUGUUGUUUUUUUUCCCACUGAAUCUGAAAUUAGGGACUGAUGUAUGUAAUUCACAGCAUACUUGGACUGGAAGAAAAUUUAUCACCAAGGUGAGCAAACAGAUCCAGUUUAGAGUUGGGACCUUGACUCAGCUUUGUGUAUAAUCCCUCAGCAACGUAGUACAAGAGCAGGAGGGCUGUGACAUUGUCCUGUGUCAUGUCCAGCCAUCACAAUAUUUGAAUAUGAAUGCAUUUUGUGUCUGUAAUACCUAGAACUCAAAUUGUGAAAAGUGGAACAGUAAAAAACCAAUGCAUCUAUAUAAACAAAAAUGUGAAUGUGGGUAUAAAACUUUCAUAAGAUCAGAGAGUUCUCUGAGGAAUUCCAAAUAAAUCUAGAAUUCAUGAGAAUUGGAAAACUAUAUAGGAA
rnacentral:lncRNA from 1 species